CCUACGUGAGGCAGCAGUGGGGAAUAUUGCGCAAUGGGCGAAAGCCUGACGCAGCGACGCCGCGUGAGGGAUGAAGGUCUUCGGAUCGUAAACCUCUGUCAGCAGGGAAGAACGGUCACUGUGCUAAUCAGCAGUGAAUUGACGGUACCUGCAAAGGAAGCACCGGCUAACUCCGUGCCAGCAGCCGCGGUAAUACGGAGGGUGCGAGCGUUAAUCGGAAUUACUGGGCGUAAGGCGCUCGUAGGCGGUAUGUCAAGUCAAGGGUGAAAUCCCCGCGCUCAACGUGGGAACUGCCUUUGAAACUGGCAAACUGGAGUGUGUGAGAGGAUAGUGGAAGUCCAGGUGUAGGAGUGAAAUCCGUAGAUAUCUGGAGGAACAUCAGUGGCGAAGGCGACUAUCUGGCACAUAACUGACGCUGAGGAGCGAAAGCGUGGGUAGCAAACAGGAUUAGAUACCCUGGUAGUC
rnacentral:rRNA from 1 species